AAGCCAUGCAUUGGGAAUUUUCUAAUUAACUCAUUGAAUCACUCCCAUGCUUCGUAUAAUGUUUCAUCCUCAUAUUGCCGAAUGGUGUAAUAUCAUUCCUGAAUUG
rnacentral:snoRNA from 1 species